UGGGGAAUCUUGGACAAUGGGCGAAAGCCUGAUCCAGCGACGCCGCGUGGGGGAUGAAGCCCUUCGGGGUGUAAACCCCUGUUGCGAGGGAGGAAUAAGGCCUGGAGGAAAUGCCAGGCCGAUGACUGUACCUCGCGAGGAAGCCCCGGCUAACUACGUGCCAGCAGCCGCGGUAAUACGUAGGGGGCGAGCGUUACCCGGAUUCACUGGGCGUAAAGCGGGUGUAGGCGGCUCGGUAAGUCGGGUGUGAAAUCCCACAGCUCAACUGUGGAAUUGCGCCCGAAACUGCUGAGCUUGGGGCCGGUAGAGGGAGACGGAACUGCCGGUGUAGGGGUGAAAUCCGUAGAUAUCGGCAGGAACGCCGGUGGGGAAGCCGGUCUCCUGGGCCGCGCCCGGCGCUGAGACCCGAAAGCUAGGGGAGCAAACC
rnacentral:rRNA from 1 species